CUGUCAUUACUGUCACAAUUUAUCAACAAAGGGACUUUAAUGCAAUUUCUCUUAAUUCUGCAAUGUUCUAAAUCAAAGUUAAUGAAGGAUGUGCUGCUCUGUUCCCUACAUACUAGUAUGGAAAACUUUUCAUUGAACAAUGCAAUGCAGUUUCGGAGAGAUGCAAGAGACGUUGGAGGUGACUAUGAAUAAUACUACAAAUCUCUUUACAUCGAUGGAACACACAGAAAGCGAAUAUAUGUAAUUGCAUUAACAGUUAAUAGUCAAAAGGACUAUGACUAAUAAUAUUACUUCUUUAAGGAGGUGCACAAUACUAUGAAUGUAUUGUUGUCUCCUUUACAAUACUUAGAGACAGUAUAAUGUUUCUGAGUGGCAGGUGCUGUGAAAAUACUGGAAAAUCAAAAAAUGAGAAUCCAAUGGCACCUAUCUAUGUAUUGUUGCUUCCUCAGUGACCUUUAGGCACUGGAUAACAUUUCUAAAUGCAAGUUGCUGUGAAAAUACUGGAAAAAUCAAAAAAUGAGAACCCAAUGGCAUGUAUCAGUGUAUUGUUGCCUCCUCUAUGAUUCUUAGACAUUGGAUAACAUUUCUAAAUACCAGUUGCUGUGAAAUUACUGGAAAUUAAAAAUAUUAAGAAGAAAAAUGUUAAUUUCAAUAUAUAGCAACUGUAGAUAGGUACUAAAGUGUUUCUUUUUUAGCAGGAUCCAACUGUACCCUUGUAUCGUCAUAUUGUGUGCAAUAUUAUGAACUAUUUGUGUAAUUA